UUAUAUUUAAAAUAGUUAUAUAAACAUUUAAGUAUAUGAUUAAUGUUAAAAAAAAAUAUCACUAAUGUUUAAAAAUAAUAAUUUAUGUAUAAAAAAAGUAAAAAUAAACACCCGCGCGGUUGCGCGGGUCAAAAUCUAGUAUUAAUUAUUUGAGAAACAAUACAUCAUUUGAGCUACACCAUGUGUUAUGAAUAAAAGGAUUCUUUUUUUUUGUUCAACAAAUAAAAGGAUUCUUAGAAUUCUUAUAAUGUAUGUUGGUUUAUCUAAAUAUAUACUUUAUUUUUCAUUAUACUAAUUUUUUUUUGUCAGCUCAUUAUACUAAUUAUAGAAUUAUAUAUUGAUGUAUAAAAAAUAUUUUUUUCGUACUGUUUUAAGUAAAAGUUACGGAAUUGCCUAGUUUGAUUAAAAUAUAGAUGACAACUAAUGAUUUUGAAUAAUAAAUAUUUGAUAACAAUUUGUGCAUCCUCUAUAAUUUUUGUUUAAUUUUAUAUUACUUUCUUUUUAAACAACCAUAUUAACUAUAAAAUAAAUAUUAAUAAUUUCUGUAUAUCUUAUAUUUGAAUUUUAAAAACGACUAUAAAUUAACAUAACUGUUAAAAAUCUCACAUUUAAAUUUUUGUGAUCAAUGAUUAUAACAAGAUACAAAUGAUCAUAAAACCAUAUUAGUAAGAUGUCUCAUUUAAUAGAUAUGAAGUAAGAUGUCUUAUUUAAUAAAUACACAUAUCUAAAUAUAUAUAUAUCUAUUUUAACGUCCUUUAAAAUAAACUGUAUAAUAUAUAAAUACAUAAAUAUUUCAAUUUCAAUUUUACAUUGAAAAAGCAUUAUGAAUUUAAUAUCUUAAUUUCCAAAAAUUUAUUGAAUUUUUAAAUAUUAUAAAUUACUAUAACUAAUAAAAGUGUCAUAUUGAAAAUUUUAUCAUCAAUGAUUUAAAUUUUUUAUUAUAAAAGAUACAAAUGAUCAUAAAAACACAUGAAUAUCAAAUUUCAUUUAAUAAAUAGUCAUAUUAAAAAAUAUACUAUAUGUUUAUGUUAACUGUAGCCAAAGUGUAGUUUUCAUUUCUAUAGAUUGAGAUAUUAGUUGUUGAACAAAAAAGGAUUUAGAUAUUAAUAUAUUAAUAACGAUAUAUGAACCACCAUCUUAAUUAUUAGAAGAGUACUUUUCUGACAUAUGACGUCAUUUAAACAUAUUGCUUGAUAAGGGUGAGAUGAAUCUAGAUAUCUGAAAAAUUGAAGAUAUUCGGAUUCGAAUUAGUUGGAUCCGUGAUUUAAGUAUUUAUAUUCAGAUUUAUGCCUUUUAGAUAUCUGAAUUUCGGAUAUAUGUCUAGAUAUUGUAACGCUAGUGAGUAUAUCUAUAUCGAUUUGGAUUCGAAUCAGUAAAAAAUAAAUGUUUCUUUUUAAAUACUAAAAUUCUAAAAUUAGUACAUAAAUUAAAUAUUUAUACGAUAUAUAUAAUAUUUAAAAUGUUAAUAUAAUAUUAAAACUAUUUUAAUGUAUAAAUAUUAAUAUAUCGAAUAUAAGUAUUAAUAAAAUUAGUAUAUAUAUAUAUUUAUAAAUCUGGAUAUUGAUAUUUAAAAAUCAAGAUAUCCGGAUCUGAUUUUGACGAAUCUGUCAUUUUAUUAUCUAGAUCGAAUCGAGAUAUUUCGAAUAUUCUAUUUUCGAAGCGAAUAUAUAAUAAUUCAGUCCUAAUGCUCGAUGAAUUCGGCACCAGUGUUAAUAGUUAAUACUAUUAAUUGUUGGUAAUGCGCUAUGAAAAUCUCAUUGAAUAUUCAACCACUGGAGAGAAGAAACUAAAGUCAAAAGAUGUCUUGAUUAGAGAUAACUAACUGGCAUGAAAGAACGUUACGUAUGAAAUUAUUAUUAGUUUGAUUUUACUAAAUACAUCAAAGUGCUGCUUUAUGUAUCUCCACCUCUAAUUAGUCUUUUUAUGGAUUACAUAUUGUCGGCUUAAAGGUUUGGUAAAAAAAAUAGAGAGGAGUAAAAAAAAGUUUAGUGCGUUGUACCCGACCGACGUCGGUUGGCUUCCUCAUUCCUCAGCCACGGCGUCGGUUAGAAUUUUUAUAUUGUUUUCUCAAUUGUUUCCUUUCUAGGUUGUAUAUUGGUUUCGAGUUUACUCUAGUUUUGAUCAUCUCGGUCUGCUUGCAUGCAAGUAUAUUCGGCUUGUCUCGAAGGAUUUGGAGCUUCGGCUCUCUUCUCAUCAAGCCAUAAGAAGCGUAUGGUAAACCGUUCUCUUCCCUCUCGUAUUCUAGGAUGGUAUCAAGUUGUCUUACGUACUCUGGCUCCUGAAUGGUAUGAAGUGGUGUGUGUUGGAGCAUCUAAUAAAAAGUGUGGCUUGGUCGUCCUUAACAAAGAUCGAUCUCUGAUGGUUCUGUUCUUCUUCUCCAUCUAUGCUCGAGCUAGCUUCGUUGUUCAGUGUUUGUUCUGUUAUGACCUUGAUUAGAUAUUUGUAAAAUCUUAGCUUCUAGCUAGUGUUUGUUUUGUUUCCGGGGAUGGGCUGUUAUCCUCCGGCUUAAAUCUUCAGGGAUUGCUUUCUCAUCCGAUGGCUCUAUUUGCGGGAGAUUUGUUUCUCGCCGGCUUUGUGUAUCAAAUCAGUUGUAAUGUUCACUGUUAAUCUA